UGGGGAAUAUUGCACAAUGGGCGCAAGCCUGAUGCAGCCAUGCCGCGUGUAUGAAGACGGCCUUCGGGUUGUAAAGUACUUUCAGCGGGGAGGAAGGGAGUAAAGUUAAUACCUUUGCCCAUUGACGUUACCCGCAGAAGAAGCACCGGCUAACUCCGUGCCAGCAGCCGCGGUAAUACGGAGGGUGCAAGCGUUAAUCGGAAUUACUGGGCGUAAAGCGUACGCAGGCGGUUUGUUAAGUCAGAUGUGAAAUCCCCGGGCUCAACCUGGGAACUGCAUCUGAUACUGGCAAGCUUGAGUCUCGUAGAGGGGGGUAGAAUUCCAGGUGUAGCGGUGAAAUGCGUAGAGAUCUGGAGGAAUACCGGUGGCGAAGGCGGCCCCCUGGGCGAAGACUGACGCUCAGGUGCGAAAGCGUGGGGAGCAAACAGG
rnacentral:rRNA from 1 species